AGCAGUGUGGCUCAGUGGAAAGAGCCUGAGCUUUGGAGUCAGAGGUCAUGGGUUCAAAUCCCAACUCUGCUA
rfam:Ornithorhynchus anatinus chromosome 6, whole genome shotgun sequence.